rnacentral:lncRNA from 1 species
UUUAAUUCAGUUCACAUAUUUCUCAACAGAUGUUACACUUUAUGAAUGAUCAAUCCACUAAGCAAAGAUGUAAGCAUGAAAUUUAGCAAUUCUCACCAAGCAAGUGUUUCACUCAAUUACUCAAGUGUUUAGGGUGCUACUCCAACUCUCUAUUAUUCACAAGGCACAUGAAACGACAUUGCCAUUUAUCUCAAACGAUCAAAAUUUUCACAUGCAAAUGUCAUCAUAAGGACUUUUCUAAGGCUUGUAUUGAGGCUGGGCUAACAAGAAAAAUUGGUUUUUUUGGAAUGCAAAAUCCUUGAGUUAAGAUAGCUACAAUAAUAUUCAAUGUUUAAGCACAACUCUCUACCUCACCAAUCUCACUUAUUCCCAACUUCUUCCCUUUUCUUUUAUUUUUACAUUGAUCUCAUCUUCAUGCUUUUCUUCUUUUCUUUUCCUUUUUCUCAUGCAUUUUUCUUUCUCAACAUUUGAGCUCAAUGCUUUUCAAUUGCCUUUCAAUUUCCCCCAUACACCCCAAACUUGAACCUUUUCCACACAUACAGUUAAGCUCAACCAAACUCAAGGUAAAGAAUUUUAAAACAAGGGUUUUCAUACUAUUUAAGGCUAAGGUUCAAAAACGGGUAUAAGAUUUCAAGUACUUUGGGUAAAAAUUUGGCUUAGAGAAGGGUUUUCAAAAAUGGCCUUGAUCAUAUGACAUUCACAUGCAAUUCAAUCAAUCAUCAAGAUUAAGGCAAUAUCAUUCAUGCUUUCUUGUGGACAAUACAUACAACAAUAAAAACUCUGGUGCUUAAUACCUCACACACAUGCUUUCUCACACAACAUUCAUUCAU